GACGAACGCUGGCGGCGUGCCUAAUACAUGCAAGUUGAGCGCUGAAGGUUGGUACUUGUACCAACUGGAUGAGCAGCGAACGGGUGAGUAACGCGUGGGGAAUCUGCCUUUGAGCGGGGGACAACAUUUGGAAACGAAUGCUAAUACCGCAUAAAAACUUUAAACACAAGUUUUAAGUUUGAAAGAUGCAAUUGCAUCACUCAAAGUUGAUCCCGCGUUGUAUUAGCUAGUUGGUGAGGUAAAGGCUCACCAAGGCGAUGAUACAUAGCCGACCUGAGAGGGUGAUCGGCCACAUUGGGACUGAGACACGGCCCAAACUCCUACGGGAGGCAGCAGUAGGGAAUCUUCGGCAAUGGACGAAAGUCUGACCGAGCAACGCCGCGUGAGUGAAGAAGGUUUUCGGAUCGUAAAACUCUGUUGGUAGAGAAGAACGUUGGUGAGAGUGGAAAGCUCAUCAAGUGACGGUAACUACCCAGAAAGGGACGGCUAACUACGUG
rnacentral:rRNA from 1 species